rnacentral:lncRNA from 1 species
UUUUAGUAGAGACAGGGUUUCACCAUGUUGGUCAGGCUGGUCUCGAACUCCUGACCUCACGAUCUGCCCGCCUUAGCCACCCAAAGUGCUGGGAUUACAGGCGUGAACCACCAUGCCCAGCCUUCAACUGUACAUCUUAAACGAUGGCUCUGACUGUGGUGUGGGAAAUGGACUAUAGGGGAUAGGAGAAGAAGCAGGGAUAAUAAUUAAGAGGCUGGGGUAGGUUUCUAUAGAUAGAGAUUUAAUUUAGAGUGGUUUGAGUGAACCUGGUGAGGUUUUCUUUUUUUUAAAACCAUUCAUAUUUUUAAAAAAUUAUUUUUUGUAGAGAUGGGGUCUUACUAUGUUGCUCAGACUGGUUUUGAACUCCUGGUCUCAAAAGAUUCUCUUGCCUUGGCCUCCCAAAGUGCUGGGAUUGCAGGUAUGAGCCACAGUGCUCAGCCCUUUCUUAUUAUAAAAUAAAGCAUAGAUACAGAAAAUCAGACAAAAUGAUUGCAUAGCUUAAUGAUAUUCUAAGGCAAAUACCCUUGUAACCACCACCCAGAACAAGAAAUAGAACUUGGCCAGCCACUCCAGAAACCCUCCACAUGCCCCAUAGUUAUUAAAAUCCUUUUUCUCUGCCAAAAUAAGCACUAUUUUUACUCUUGUCCUUUUUUCUCCCUCCUAUUUUUUACAAUUUUAUCACCUAGUGUGCAUUUCUAGACAUCAUAGUUGGGUCAAGCUCAUUUCUUUCUUAUAGUUGACGUAUCUUUGAAGCCUCUUUUAAGCUAUAGCUUUCCUCGUCCUUCCUUUUCUUUUCUUUACAUUUUAUUUGUUAAAGGACGUAGGGUAUUUGACACACAGGUUUUCUUGGUCUGGAAUUAGCUGAUUGCAUAGCGUGGUGCUGGCGUUUUUCUUUUUCUCUGUAUUCCCGAAAACUGGACCUAGAGUCUUCAUCAGACUUGGAUUUAAUCCUUUAGCAAGAUUAUUGGUGGUAUUGUGUUCUUUUAUUAGGAAAUACAUGACAUCUGAUUAUAACGUGUUUGUGAUACUGGUAGGUAAAUGCAUUAGGAGUUGCAAAAUGAUAAUAUUUUAAUUUUAUCAUUUCAUUUCACUUCUUAUGAGAAAUAAUUUUAUAAAUAGAUACUUCCUUUUAUCUACUAGUUGGUUACCCAAUGGUAUAAUUCACAGAGCGAAGCUGGGAUCAAUGCUUGAUUUUUUUACCAUUAAUAGACGGUUUUGGCAAUAUUUUUUUCUAUCAUUUUCCUAAGAUAACAAAUUCAUUUUAAAAAAUAUGAUUGUUUAGCUACUUUGAAAAAUACUUUGGCGAUUUCUUGUAAAGUUAAGUCUACACUUAUAAU